AGCAGAAAAAAGAAAGUUCUACACAUCUGGGAUGGCACGAAGUUCCUGAUUAGUCCAUUCCUUAACUCAUCAUUACUUCAUGUAAGAAAGAAAGUCAUAUGGGUUUGGAACAACAUGAGGGUCAGUAAAUGAUGACAGAAUUUUCAUUUUUGGGUGAACUAUUCAUUUAAAAUGUAGUUGGUGGGUUGAAAAUAAUCAUCACAGGAUGCAAAAAUAUCUUUUGGUGUUUUAUUCUGAUGGCUGUUAAACAAAGAAAAAACAGCAGUUGAU